rnacentral:rRNA from 1 species
CAGUCGCCGCGGUAAUACGUAGGGUGCAAGCGUUAAUCGGAAUUACUGGGCGUAAAGCGUGCGCAGGCGGUUAUAUAAGACAGAUGUGAAAUCCCCGGGCUCAACCUGGGAACUGCAUUUGUGACUGUAUAGCUAGAGUACGGCAGAGGGGGAUGGAAUUCCGCGUGUAGCAGUGAAAUGCGUAGAUAUGCGGAGGAACACCGAUGGCGAAGGCAAUCCCCUGGGCCUGUACUGACGCUCAUGCACGAAAGCGUGGGGAGCAAACAGGAUUAGAUACCCCUGUAGUCCUUGUCUCUUAUAC